rnacentral:rRNA from 1 species
UACGUAGGUGUCGAGCGUUGUCCGGAUUUAUUGGGCGUAAAGAGCCCGCAGGCGGCUUGGCAAGUUUGGGGUGAAAUCUCCCGGCUCAACUGGGAGGGUGCCCUGAAAACUGUCAGGCUUGAGUCAUGGAGAGGGAUGUGGAAUUCCAGGUGUAGUGGUGAAAUGCGUAGAUAUCGGGAGGAACACCAGUGGCGAAGGCGGCCUUCUGGACCAAUACUGACGCUCAUGCACGAAAGCGUGGGGAGCAAACAGG